rnacentral:misc_RNA from 1 species
GAUGAAGAACGUAGCAAAAUGCGAUACUUGGUGUGAAUUGCAGAAUCCCGUGAACCAUCGAGUUUUUGAACGCAAGUUGCGCCCGAAGCCUUUUGGCCGAGGGCACGUCUGCCUGGGCGUCACGCAUCGCGUCGCCCCCCACAAUUCUCCGUAAAGGGAACGUGUGUUUUGGGGGCGGAUAUUGGUCUCCCGUGCUCAUGGCGUGGUUGGCCGAAAUAGGAGUCCUUUCGAUGGACGCACGAACUAGUGGUGGUCGUAAAAACCCUCGUCUUUUGUUUCGUGCUGUUGCUCGCAAGGUAAACUCUUUAAAAACCCCAAUGUGUCGUCUCUUGACGACGCUUCGACCGCGACCCCAGGUCAGGCGUGACUACCCGCUGAGUUUAAGCAUAUCAAUAAGCGGAGGA